AUUGAACGCUGGCGGCAGGCUUAACACAUGCAAGUCGAGCGGAGCGAAGGUGCUUGCACCUUAGCUUAGCGGCGGACGGGUGAGUAAUGCUUAGGAAUCUGCCUAUUAGUGGGGGACAACGUUUCGAAAGGAACGCUAAUACCGCAUACGUCCUACGGGAGAAAGCAGGGGAUCUUCGGACCUUGUGCUAAUAGAUGAGCCUAAGUCGGAUUAGCUAGUUGGUGGGGUAAAGGCCUACCAAGGCGACGAUCUGUAGCGGGUCUGAGAGGAUGAUCCGCCACACUGGGACUGAGACACGGCCCAGACUCCUACGGGAGGCAGCAGUGGGGAAUAUUGGACAAUGGGCGAAAGCCUGAUCUAGCCAUGCCGCGUGUGUGAAGAAGGCCUUUUGGUUGUAAAGCACUUUAAGCGAGGAGGAGGAGCUUCAGGUUAAUACCCUGGAUGCUUGGACGUUACUCGCAGAAUAAGCACUGGCUAACUCUGUGCCAGCCGCCGCAGUAA
rnacentral:rRNA from 1 species